rnacentral:rRNA from 1 species
UACGUAGGGUGCAAGCGUUGUCCGGAAUUAUUGGGCGUAAAGAGCUCGUAGGCGGUUUGGUAAGUCUGGUGUGAAAUCUCCACGCUCAACGUGGAGGGGCCACCCGAUACUGCCAUGACUGGAGUCCGGUAGAGGAGUGUGGAAUUCCCGGUGUAGCGGUGAAAUGCGCAGAUAUCGGGAGGAACACCCGUAGCGAAGGCGGCACUCUGGGCCGGUACUGACGCUGAGGAGCGAAAGCGUGGGGAGCAACAG